rnacentral:lncRNA from 1 species
CAGUGCUGGCCGGUGCUGACAGAGUAACUUCAGCUGGGAUCUGUGGUACUGCUGUGUCCCUGGCUGCUGAGAGCAGGGAAGGAGGGCUCCAUCUACUGCUGUGCGGGGAGAAGGCAAAAAUAACCGGGAUGGCAUUCCUCUGCUGCACAGAAAAGCUACUGGGUACAUGAACUCCAGCUGGCAACCUGCCCUGCAAUUUCCAGGGACAGCAAACCUGUGAGACAGAUGCACUCACUGUGUGACUGAGGAUGCUCUCCAGCCCUGCUGAGCCAGCCCUGGGAGCGGGGCUGUGUGUGGGGUCUGCUGUUUUCUAGUUGGAGUGAUUUUUAUAGCCUGUAUUAUAAGGAAACCCACACGUGAGGAAAGGAAGAAGGAAUUAAAUGGAAAACAAACCACAGGCCCAGCCAUUAAUCCUUCUGGGGAAAGCAGGGCCUGGGCUGCAUUCUUCAGCAUCCAACCCACUGUGGGACACACGAGGUGAAAGUCGUCAACAGUCUGAGCUGAGUCUCUGGUCAGCCAUCGUUCUGGGGGAUCUGCUGCUGCUCUCCCACUGGAGCCUGUUCCUUUGUGCUCUUUCCAUGAGGAGCAGCCAAAAUCAUGAAUUAAACAUUGCUGAUAUUAAAGAGGACUCCUGGCAUCUGCCCCAAAUGGAGAAAUCAACGUGUCAUUCAUUACAGAUAUCCACACUUAUACAGGGAACACGUGUUUGCCAGAUGGUGCCAGUUCAGGAUUCCCAGAGGGAGCAGGAGUGGUCCAUCCCUGCUGAAUGCCAGAGCCACCCCAGUCCCGGGGUCCCCCAAGGGUCUUCACUCCUCUCCCUGCAGCCUGGCAGAGAUGCCCCUGGGCCUCUCCCAGCUGAGGCUGUGUUGUGA